AUUUUAAAAGUUCUAACAAUAACCAUGAAAACAAAUAUACUAGAAUUUAUUUCAUUUCAUAUCUUGGUAAAGUUUACAUGAAAUUUACAGCAUAAAUUCCUAUUUAAUAUUUUCCUCAGAGCAAUCUCUAAUAGUAUUUCCCAGGUGAUGUCUUAAAGCCAGUAUUUGCAUUUUAAAAAUUGGUUUAUCUCAGAAAGAAAACUGUAGACUCUGUCCAUUUUUGGCAUCAUGUGCACAGAUUAAAAUGUAGAGUUGAAACUCUGCUUUUCCAAAUGUCUAAUGUUUCUUUGAAAUAAGAACUUAUAGGGAGACUAUCAUAAUAGAACUUUACAACAA